rnacentral:rRNA from 1 species
UACGUAGGGGCCUAGCGUUGUCCGGAAUUAUUGGGCGUAAAGAGCUCGUAGGCGGUUCGGCAAGUCGGAUGUGAAAUCUCCACGCUCAACGUGGAGGGGCCAUUCGAAACUGCCGUGACUCGAGUCCGGUAGGGGAGUGUGGAAUUCCCGGUGUAGCGGUGAAAUGCGUAGAUAUCGGGAAGAACACCAGUGGCGAAGGCGCUCUACUGGGCCACAACUGACGCUGAGGGACGAAAGCGUGGGGAGCGAACAGG